GGCGGAAAGCGUGGUCAGGAGUGGUCGUGUGUGUGCGCUCUGCAGAUUGCCUUUAGUAAGGUUAGUGAGCAGUGAGAACCAGCAGUGUCUACCACAGCAGUGAGAACCAGCAGUGUCUACCACAGCAGUGAGAACCAACAGUGUCUACCACAGCAGUGAGAACCAGCAGUGUCUACCACAGCAGUGAGAACCAGCAGUGUCUACCACAG